rnacentral:misc_RNA from 1 species
GGGACAUGUAAUUUUGUGUUUUUGUAUCUUUUGGUUCUCAAGAAUUGUGUUUUUGUAAAGAAAAAUUGUGGUUUGUAAUUUGGUUAAAGAUGGAAAUUUCCAGUGGACUGAGUCCUAGAGUGAACUCAGUUACAUCAGGUGAAGGUAAAAAAGAUGACCCAAAUCAUCAAAAAUUUGAAUUGGAAUCUAUUGAUUUGGUUUCACAUACGGAUCACCAGUUUCUUACUUUGAGUGCUCUAGAGAUUUUGAGGGAAACUGUGAGAAUUCUGCGGUAUAAUUCAAUAGGUUUCAUGACAAUUGC